rnacentral:rRNA from 1 species
AUUGAACGCUGGCGGCAGGCCUAACACAUGCAAGUCGAGCGGAUGAAGAGAGCUUGCUCUCUGAUUCAGCGGCGGACGGGUGAGUAAUGCCUAGGAAUCUGCCUGGUAGUGGGGGACAACGUUUCGAAAGGAACGCUAAUACCGCAUACGUCCUACGGGAGAAAGUGGGGGAUCUUCGGACCUCACGCUAUCAGAUGAGCCUAGGUACGAUUAGCUAGUUGGUGAGGUAAAGGCUCAACAAGGCGACGAUCGUUAACUGGUCUGAGAGGAUGAUCAGUCAGACUGGGACUGAGACACGGUCCAGACUCCUACGGGAGGCAGCAGUGGGGAAUAUUGGACAAUGGGCGAAAGCCUGAUCCAGCCAUGCCGCGUGGGUGAAGAAGGUCUUCGGAUUGUAAAGCACUUUAAGUUGGGAGGAAGGGCAGUAAGUUAAUACCUUGCUGUUUUGACGUUACCGACAGAAUAAGCACCGGCUAACUUCGUGCCAGCCGCCGUAACAC